rnacentral:sRNA from 1 species
CAAAGCUCUUGAAACACAUCAGUCGUGC